rnacentral:rRNA from 1 species
UACGUAGGGUGCAAGCGUUGUCCGGAAUUAUUGGGCGUAAAGAGCUCGUAGGCGGUUUGUCGCGUCUGCUGUGAAAACGCGAGGCUCAACCUCCAGCCUGCAGUGGGUACGGGCAGACUAGAGUGCGGUAGGGGAGAUUGGAAUUCCUGGUGUAGCGGUGGAAUGCGCAGAUAUCAGGAGGAACACCGAUGGCGAAGGCAGAUCUCUGGGCCGUAACUGACGCUGAGGAGCGAAAGCGUGGGGAGCGAACAGG